rnacentral:rRNA from 1 species
UACGUAGGGGGCAAGCGUUGUCCGGAUUUAUUGGGCGUAAAGAGCGUGUAGGCGGCCCGGUAAGUCCGCUGUAAAAGUCGGGGGCUCAACCCUCGAAAGCCGGUGGAUACUGUCGGGCUAGAGUACGGAAGAGGCGAGUGGAAUUCCUGGUGUAGCGGUGAAAUGCGUAGAGAUCAGGAAGAACAUCGGUGGCGAAGGCGCUCUGCUGGACCAUAACUGACACUCAGGGACGAAAGCUAGGGGAGCGAAUGGG